rnacentral:rRNA from 1 species
GACGAACGCUGGCGGCGUGCUUAACACAUGCAAGUCGAACGGUAAGGCCCUUCGGGGUACACGAGUGGCGGACGGGUGAGUAACACGUGGGUGAUCUGCCCUGCACUUCGGGAUAAGCCUGGGGAACUGGGUCUAAUACCGGAUAGGACCACUGCCUGCAUGGGUGGUGGUGGAAAGCUUUUGCGGUGUGGGAUGGGCCCGCGGCCUAUCAGCUUGUUGGUGGGGUGAUGGCCUACCAAGGCGACGACGGGUAGCCGGCCUGAGAGGGUGACCGGCCACACUGGGACGGAGAUACGGCCCAGACUCCUACGGGAGGCAGCAGUGGGGAAUAUUGCACAAUGGGCGCAAGCCUGAUGCAGCGACGCCGCGUGAGGGAUGACGGCCUUCGGGUUGUAAACCUCUUUCAGCACCGACGAAGCGCAAGUGACCGUAGGUGCAGAAGAAGGACCGGCCAACUACGUGCCAGCCGCCGCAGUAACAC